rnacentral:rRNA from 3 species
UAGGGAAUCUUCCGCAAUGGGCGAAAGCCUGACGGAGCAACGCCGCGUGAGUGAUGAAGGUCUUCGGAUCGUAAAACUCUGUUGUUAGGGAAGAACAAAUUUGUUAGUAACUGAACAAGUCUUGACGGUACCUAACCAGAAAGCCACGGCUAACUACGUGCCAGCAGCCGCGGUAAUACGUAGGUGGCAAGCGUUAUCCGGAAUUAUUGGGCGUAAAGCGCGCGUAGGCGGUUUCUUAAGUCUGAUGUGAAAGCCCACGGCUCAACCGUGGAGGGUCAUUGGAAACUGGGAAACUUGAGUGCAGAAGAGGAGAGUGGAAUUCCAUGUGUAGCGGUGAAAUGCGCAGAGAUAUGGAGGAACACCAGUGGCGAAGGCGGCUCUCUGGUCUGUAACUGACGCUGAUGUGCGAAAGCGUGGGGAUCAAACAGG